AACGCUGGCGGCAGGCUUAACACAUGCAAGUCGAACGCCCCGCAAGGGGAGUGGCAGACGGGUGAGUAACGCGUGGGAACAUACCCUUUCCUGCGGAAUAGCUCUGGGAAACUGGAAUUAAUACCGCAUACGCCCUACGGGGGAAAGAUUUAUCGGGGAAGGAUUGGCCCGCGUUGGAUUAGCUAGUUGGUGGGGUAAAGGCCUACCAAGGCGACGAUCCAUAGCUGGUCUGAGAGGAUGAUCAGCCACAUUGGGACUGAGACACGGCCCAAACUCCUACGGGAGGCAGCAGUGGGGAAUAUUGGACAAUGGGCGCAAGCCUGAUCCAGCCAUGCCGCGUGAGUGAUGAAGGCCUUAGGGUUGUAAAGCUCUUUCACCGAUGAAGAUAAUGACGGUAGUCGGAGAAGAAGCCCCGGCUAACUUCGUGCCAGCAGCCGCGGUAAUACGAAGGGGGCUAGCGUUGUUCGGAAUUACUGGGCGUAAAGCGCACGUAGGCGGAUAUUU
rnacentral:rRNA from 1 species